rnacentral:sRNA from 1 species
GCAGAUGCUCCAGGUCAGGCACUGGAUCCGCCCGGGCUGUGGGUCCGCGACUCCUUGGCGUCCCCGGGCCGCAGCUGCGCUGCCAUGUCCACGCAGAGACUUCGGAAUGAAGACUACCACGACUACAGCUCCACGGACGUGAGCCCCGAGGAGAGCCCGUCGGAAGGCCUCAACAACCUCUCCUCCCCGGGCUCCUACCAGCGCUUUGGUCAAAGCAACAGCACAACACUUAUGCCAUUCCUGAUGACUGCCCAAGCGGACCAUGGAAGCUUCUCCUGGGCUCAUCACUGGAGAAGCUCCCUCUGCCUGCACUGUCUGCUGAUGGUUCCAGACCUUGAUCCACCUGUUAAAAGGCAACAUUGGCACAGGACUCCUGGGACUCCCUCUGGCGGUGAAAAAUGCAGGCAUCGUGAUGGGUCCCAUCAGCCUGCUGAUCAUAGGCAUCGUGGCCGUGCACUGCAUGGGUAUCCUGGUGAAAUGUGCUCACCACUUCUGCCGCAGGCUGAAUAAAUCCUUUGUGGAUUAUGGUGAUACUGUGAUGUAUGGACUAGAAUCCAGCCCCUGCUCCUGGCUCCGG